rnacentral:rRNA from 1 species
AACGGGGAUAUUCAUCGCGUCCGACUGGCGGACGAGCCGGGUCGGCUUUCGACGGACGACCGUUCGCGGUCGCCCGCUGCCAACCCGGCCGUUUCGUCGCCGGCGCGUGCACUUAUCCCCUAGUAGGACGUCGCGAUCCGUUGGGCGUCGGUCUACGGUCGACGGUGGAGACCGCGCGCGUGGCUUCGGCCUGCGCGCGCGAACCCGUCGAUUUUCCGGCCGACUCGCUCGACGGUAUCAUUCGAGGCGCGGAGCCGCGACUCGUUCGCAUCCGACUGUCCGCAAGCGCGGCCGGUCUCCCGGCUGUCGGAUCUGAUGCCGGCACCGGGACCGGACGGCUGCUGGCGGGCACGUUCUCGGAUAGACUCCGACUCACGCCUAUCGGCGACGCUAUAGCUUUGGGUAAUCUCAGGACCCGUCUUGAAACACGGACCAAGGAGUCUAGCAUGUGCGCGAGUCAUUGGGACUUUUGAAACCUAAAGGCGAAAUGAAAGUAAAGGCCGCGCCUUGUGCGCGUGCCUAGGGAGGAUGGGCCGCACCGCGGUGUGGCCCCGCACUCCUGGGGCGUCUCGUGCUCAUCGCGAGCUGAGGCGCACCGAGAGCGCAAAUGCUGGGACCCGAAAGAUGGUGAACUAUGCCUGGUCAGAACGAAGUCAGGGGAAACCCUGAUGGAGGUUCGUAGCGAUUCUGACGUGCAAAUCGAUCGUCGGAACUGGGUAUAGGGGCGAAAGACUAAUCGAACCAUCUAGUAGCUGGUUCCCUCCGAAGUUUCCCUCAGGAUAGCUGGCGCUCGUUGUACGAGUCUCAUCCGGUAAAGCGAAUGAUUAGAGGCAUUGGGGUCGAAACGACCUCAACCUAUUCUCAAACUUUAAAUGGGUGAGAU